rnacentral:sRNA from 1 species
GAGGGGUAGUGAGUACAGAUUGGGUUAACCUCAGAUAGAAAGCUUUACAUUUCUUUUUUGUUUGUUUGUUUGUUUGUUGAGACACAGUCUCAUUCUGUCGCCCAGGCUGGAGUGCAGUGGCUCAAUGUCCAUUCACUGCGACCUCCACCUCCCAGGUUCAAGCGAUUCUCGUGCCUCAGCCUCCCGAGUAGCUGGGAUUACAGGAAUCUGGAAACUGUUCUUCAGGAAGAAACCCAUUAGUUUGGAACUGGAGAAUUCCUUUGCAUCAGAUACUAAAAUGAAAGAACCACUGUUAGGUGGUGAGUGUGACAAGGCAGUGGCAUCACAGCUGGGGCUGCUAGAUGAAAUUAAGACAGAACCCGACAAUGCUCAAGAGUAUUGUCAUAGGCAACAGUCCAGAACUCAAGAGAAUGAACUGAAAAUAAACGCUGUGUUUUCAGAGAGUGCUUCACAGUUGACUGCAGGCAUUCAGCUUUCUCUGGCAUCAUCUGGCAUGAAUAAAAUGCUUCCUUCAGUUUCAACCACAGCUAUUCAGGUUUCCUGUGCUGGUUGUAAAAAAAUUCUCCAGAAGGGGCAAACUGCUUAUCAGAGGAAAGGAUCUGCUCAAC